UUUGAGCGUGGUGCACCGUAUGCCUGGUUCUUGUUCAGGUUAUGGGACACCAGUAAAUCGUGGCUCGCGUUUGCUGUGAAGCGUCUCCCUAGUUUCAGACCUCCGUGUGUCAUGCGUCCUGGCUGGUAGCGUGAUCAAGGCGCUCUUAUUGAAUGUAUCGUUGCGGAAGGUGCCCUUGUGGUUUUAACACUCCGGCGGGCUAGUUGACCACUGUAGAGGUGUACACGAAGCGAGCAGAAUACCGUGCUGUCAUGCAUUAUGUGUGUACAUGGCGGCGAACUAUGCAAAAUUCAUAUGUCACAUUUUGGGACGUUACAAGAACACACCAGGGCGGUCGCCUCGAAUCGAUUUGCUCUCCGAAACCACGAAAGUAUGUCACGUCCAUUCGUGUUCGCGUCUGUUCACUACGAAGAUAGAGAUAGUGUCGCAUAUGAAGCAGUACAUACGAGAGGGUCAUUAUCAGAUCUCCUUAUGAACGCUGCCAGAAGAAGUUCCGUGCCAUCUCUGCGGUUUGUGUACACCUUCUUAUGUUCUUCCUUUGAAAAAGUAAAACGGUGAGUCUAAUUUCCUUUCUCUUUGCAGUGUUUUGAUGCCAGAGCUGACUGAUGGGUGCACAUGGUUCCUUCGUAGGUUCUUCCUUUGAAAAAAUAAAUGUGUUUUGAUGCCGGAGCUGACUGAUGGGUGCACAUGGCUCAUUCGUAUGUUCUUCCUUUGAAAAAAUAAAUGUGUUUUGAUGCCAGAGCUGACUGAUGGGUGCACAUGGCUCAUUCGUAUGUUCUUCCUUUGAAAAAAUAAAUGUGUUUUGAUGCCAGAGCUGACUGAUGGGUGCACAUGGCUCCUUCGUAUGUUCUUCCUUUGAAAAAAUAAAUGUGUUUUGAUGCCAGAGCUGACUGAUAGGUGCACAUGGCCACUUCGUACGUUCUUCCUUUGAAAAAAUAAAUGUGUUUUGAUGCCAGAGCUGACUGAUGGGUGCACAUGGUUAAUUCGUAGGUUUUUCCUUUGAAAAAAUAAACGGGUUUUGAUGCCAGAGGUGGCUGGCGCAUUUUCAUCACUAUGUACAUAGAAAAUAAAUCCCAAUGUGACAAACA